GACGAGCGCUGGCGGCGUGCUUAACACAUGCAAGUCGAACGGAAAGGCCCUGCUUUUGUGGGGUGCUCGAGUGGCGAACGGGUGAGUAACACGUGAGUAACCUGCCCUUGACCUUGGGAUAACUUCAGGAAACUGGGGCUAAUACCGGAUAGGAGCUCCUGCUGCAUGGUGGGGGUUGGAAAGUUUCGGCGGUUGGGGAUGGACUCGCGGCUUAUCAGCUUGUUGGUGGGGUAGUGGCUUACCAAGGCUUUGACGGGUAGCCGGCCUGAGAGGGUGACCGGCCACAUUGGGACUGAGAUACGGCCCAGACUCCUACGGGAGGCAGCAGUGGGGAAUAUUGCACAAUGGGCGGAAGCCUGAUGCAGCAACGCCGCGUGCGGGAUGACGGCCUUCGGGUUGUAAACCGCUUUCGCCUGUGACGAAGCGUGAGUGACGGUAAUGGGUAAAGAAGCACCGGCUAACUACGUG
rnacentral:rRNA from 1 species